GCGCGGCGAGCCCUGCGCGGUCCGCGGGGCCCCGUGCGGUCCCCCGGCGCGGGCCCCCGGCGCGCGGGCGAGAGCGGCGGCCUGUCCCCGCCGAGCGCGCUCCUUCGCGUCCCCCGGGACGUGCACUUUCUGGGCGACCGCCCGCCGCUCGCGCGGAGCCCCCGCAGUGCGCUGCGGAGGCCGGAGCUGCGCGGAGGCCCGGGCCCUUGGGCCACCGGGGAGCGUCCCUGUCCCCGCAGGCUUGUUCCCGCCUCGCUUCUCGGAACGCGCGCCUCUGGUUGCCUUGUCCCCUGCCAGAUCCCAAGCCUAGAACCCCGUGGACGAAGUCCUUGUGCGUGGACGCCCUUGCCUCUGAGUGCUCGGAGGAGUCCUUGCUGGCGACUCCGUGGCCCACAUAACCAGCGACCCAGAAAGCGCGCACUCCUCAAAAAGACUCUGGGUUUGGAUUUUCGUUGGCAACUUAAGAAAUAAUGACUUUGGCAUUUAUUAAAACAGUAGGAAGGACUUCAUUCAGAGAGAAAUGGUAUGCAACACGGAAUACAGCACCGGAGGCUGGAGCUUUAUAGUCAAUGAGUAGAACAAGGGAGUGUGUGGGGUCAGUAGGUGGGAAUCACCAGGUCGUCCAAGGGGGAUUUUUUGCUAAACCGAUUGAACAGGAUUGUUGCUGAAGGCAGGCCAGUGUGGCGGGAGGUGAGGUAUUUGGUCAGAGAUGACGGGUGAUCGACCCCAAGAUGGGGAUGCUUUCUGAAUCAGCUUUGCAGGAUUCUUCCUAAAGCUAGGCUGGUCAGUGAGAAGGUUGGGACGGGGGUCAAGGAGUGAAGCCAGAAUUUGACAGCUGUCGGUAUAGACAGAUAAAAGACUGCUCCCUGAGGGAGUGAAAUCCCUUGAGAGCCCUUCCUCCUCUCUUCCUCCUCCUCCAUCCCCUGCUCCAACCUGUUGCUAAGGUAAUCAGUGUGUGUGUGUGGGGGAAUGUCCCUCCCUACCUUGAGUUGUAAAAGUCGUUAAUUAAUAUGUCCUGGGCCUGCCCUUCCCCCCUUCCCCCUUCAGCCCACCUGUUUCCCACGUUUUGGCCACCCCACGGAGGUCACCUAUGUAGGAAGGAGAAAGAGAAAGGGAAGAGAGCUGGAGAACAAAGGAAGCCUAAGACAUCAAAAAGGCGGAACACCUUCCUGGGUACCAGGACACCAGCUAUGGCCCUUCUCCCUCCUGGGAGAGGUCUGUUGCCCUUAUUAAAUAAACCUGCUUCAUAGGCUUCCUCAGCUGCUUCUCUAAUGCUAGACUUCAACAUGUGGGGAAGCAGGAGUACAUCUUUGUCACUUUUAGGAAUAUUCUGAGACCUGCCUACCUUCUGGAAAUGUUACAAAAUUGGGACCUUCUGGGAAACUGGGGGAGCAUGAAGAUCGCCCCCCCCCCCCAUUCCAACCCAGUUCUUAAAUCAGAAGGAUUUCAAAAUGUCAGAGUAACAGGCAUGAGUUUAUUGAAGGGACAGGAAAAGGGAGUGGGGACACACUCAAGGGGGAGAGUGGGUCCUUCCUCUCAGAAAAGAAGGAACAAGGAGCUUCUUCACUCCAUUUUUAUUGGGGAUCCCAGAGAAAUAUCCAGAGAUUCCUGCCCAGGUCCACCUCUUGACUUUUUUUAAAAUUUUAUUUUAAUUUUUUAGUUGUAGAUGGACAUAAUACCUUUAUUUUAUGUACUUAUUUUUAUGUGGUGCUGAGGAUCAAACCCAGUGCCUUACAUUUGCUAGGCAACAAAUGAGCCACAACCCCAGCCCCUCCUCUUGACUUUUGACUGACAGUAGGAUGGCAUCACACUUUCAAGUCCCCACUGCCAUGACUAACUCUGGGUCACCUUGGCCUAUGCUGACCAUGGUCAGCAUGGUUUAUGAUUCUUAACCAUAAAUUUUUACAGAUUUUAUGAUUAAGAGGAAUUAUCUUUAUCUCCCUAAGUUUUGGGAUCUGGUCCAUAAAAAGGGUCACUGAAGUGUCCACCUUCAGGCUAACUUGUAUUCCUCUUAUGGACAUUAUCUUCAUUUCUCCUGCAGAUAACGGGUAGUUUGCUGAGGAAUGUGACAUCUGUCCACUUAGGCUAGGCAGGGGUGCAGGUAAAUUGCUUCUUGGAAAAGAAAGCAUGUGGGGGUUACACAGUGGGCCCAUUUUACAGAAUUGCUCCCUUAAUCUCAUGUCUAUCUCAAGUCUAUGCGCUAUCAGGAAGAUCUUUUAAAUCUUCACAUUUUUGUUUAUAUGUGGAUUUAGGAGAGGCUCCUGCGGAGGCUUGCUCUCAAUCCAUAAACUAUAGAAUAAACUGCAUCAGACACAUCUUCCAAGUGGUGUAACUGCUGCCGCCCAGGCCAGAGAAGGCCUAAUGGUUGGCUGGAGACUUCAGGUAUUGGGAGAAGAGGUUAGGAUUUGUAUAGGUUUAAAUGAAUAUUUCCUUUUUUGUGUGUAGUUUUAGUAUUUUUUUUGAGCAGGUGCAACAGCUUAACUCAAUGUUCCCAUCUUUUCUGAGGAAACAGAAAUGUUUCAAACGGAAAAGCGGGAAGGGCAUCAGGAAGGGGAACUGUUGGGGAUGAGGUCUGCGCCUCAACUUCUUUAAAAGCUCAACUUCUGAGAAAGGUUCUGAUGUAAUCAGAGGACAACAUGGUGUUAGGAUUUCAGUCCCUGAGAGCCUGCAUGUCCUUUGACCAGGUGCCCCUGGGAAGACCUGUGGCCCACAGCCCCCUGGUCUCAGCACCUGUCUCAGGACCCUUCUUCCACAGGUGUAUACUUUGCUAAGCAGACUUACUCUGGGAGCAAAGUGCUGGUGUAGGCCCAGCACACUGCAGACCUCAUCAAGUGGUUUUGUGAAUCUCGUCACUUCUCUGCUUGGAUUCCUCCAUCUGCUGAAAGAGUUGAGCUGCCUACCCUCCAAGGUCCCCCCACUCUUACUCAGCAGUGCAUCUUCUUAGGCGUCAUCUCUGAUCUGGAAUGACAGAAGCAAGGCUUUGAGACAGUGCACGGCUUUAUGAGUCAACAGGAUGGGUUUCUGGUGGCAGGUGGUUGACAACGUCAGCAGAACACCUGCAUAAUCAACAUGACAGUCCUUCAGUGACCUACUGUCUGACCUCAUCCUUUCUCCUAGUGAAUUACUGCAGGACACCAGGAGUUCCAAAGAGCUCCAGGUCCCACACAAUACUCCUUUUGAACUCCUGUGUCCUCUGGCAAACACACAUUCCGACUUCCAGGGCAGAGCUCUGGGGCUUCGGUGCACGUUCCUCCAUGUUCGAGGCCGGUGGUAGAUUCUGCAGCCUCCACAGGCUCUGUCCCUGCAGCAGUGUUAUCCACCACGUCCUUGCCGAGGCAGCCUGUGCAGAAAGUACUUGGCUGGCCACGUGAGGUCCUUUGGCCAGUGGAGUGUGGGUGGAAGUAGCUGUGUGGUCCAGGACGUCCUGAGAGUUUCAUGUGUCCACCUGCACCUCUCGAGCUUUGGACCUUGGCCAUGGCAAAAAGCUUGGAGGGUAGUCAUGGCCUUUGUCCUUGGGGCCAGAAUGAGACACCUGUGAUGAGCUGCCUUGGUCAAUGUGAAGGCAGUGACCAUGAGGAGGGGUCAUUGCUGUUUUAAGCCACUGCAGGAUGGCAUAGCAUUUUUCUGGCCUUAGCUAAUUGAGACAGGGACAAAGGGCUUAGACUAAAGUGUUUCAGUGUUGACCCUUAUGAGGAUGCUCAUUUCAUGGCAGGUAUCCUUAGGUGUGUGGACAGGAGGUGCUGGAUGGGGAGGGAAGGAGGGGAGGAACAGAUGGGGAAAGAGUCAUUGCUGACCGUGUCCUCAUCCCUGGAAUUCUGGCACUUCAGAGGGGAGGAAAAUGUGAAUUUAAUAAAACUGCAAGAUAUUUUGGGAGAUCUUAUGGUGGCAGGAUGGAAAGGGAAGCCCUGCUCUGGUAUUUCUUAGGGCUUAGCAGUUCCGGGGGAGGAGGCUUGUGGUUAGAGCACACCAGAAGGUUCAGGAGCUCCAACUGUUUUAAGUCUCCACCUCAACCCAGGGCCUUGUAGUUUUUUCAUCUACCAAGGACAAAGGGAAAAGAGAAACAGGUAGCCUUGUUCUUGGCUCUGCAGGGGCACAUAUCUCUUCUGCUCAUGUUUUGAUGGUUAGGAUCAGUUACAUCCACACUAUAAGGACACUGCCUGUCGGACAGUUGUUUUCUAGUGACGGUUCCAUACAUGGAAAGGGGGACAGGCUGAAUUUUUCCUGCCACAAGGGUGCUCUUCUCAACGAUUUAAACAUCUCCACUCUUCUGUCACUCUGCUUGCAAGGUUUCUGAAGAGAUGUGCUGCCCCCGUCACUCGUGUGAAUUUCCAGGGACACCAAAUAAAACACAGACACCACUUUACCUUUAAACAAUCUUCAGGGCGACUUCUCUGCUCUGGGCCUCAGGCUCCCCGUGGGAGAGCAAGGGAAAGUCACGAGAGGCUGGCGCGAGAGCGAGCGCCUUCGGAAGUGGGCUUUCAUUGGGGGGACCCUUGUCUUAGAAAGUUCCAUCUAAAAAAGUCCAGAAGGAGCAGGCUUACAAGGUCGGGUGAGUGUAAUUCAGCCGGAGGGGCGUCGCCGACACCUGAAGACACUUCUGUGAUGUACUUUUUGGAAUUUCCUCACUGUUUUGCUUUCCCAUUUGGAAGUUUCUGUUGACAUACUUCAGCUACGGAGGUGCAGUCAGUCGAUGGUGUGGAAAGUUCUCCACUGCUGUGACAGUGUUCGAGACUGUCCCUGAGACCCCCUCUCGGGACAUCACCACCUCUUCUUGCGUGGGGCUCCCUCUUGCCGCAGGAGCCCUGAGCACACCACUCAUGGCUACUUCAACUCUCAGACUUGAUGACCCCAGAUCCUGCCAGGUCUGAGUCUAGUUCUGAUACUUGUCUUUUCUCUCCAGCUGCGUUUCUUGCCUUUGAUUUUUUGCCAUUUCUCAGGUGAGGUGCCCAGGUCACCUGUUGGGCAGGAGCUGGCUGCUGGCUGUAGCUCUGGGGCCAGGGCUAGAGCUCCCUCGGUUGCCUCCCUCUGCUCUGGCCCCUCUCCCGCCAUUGUCUUCGAUGUCUAGAGACUCUCUUUUUUUAAGUGUGUUUUUUCCUCCCCUUUUUUAUUGGUGCGUUAUAGUCAUGCGUAACGUUGGGAUUUGAUGUCACACAUCGGUACAUGCACACAAUAUGACAAUUUGACCAAAAAAGACCCUUCCUUAAGUCAGGCUUGCAGUUCUUUGAGAGGCAAGUCCCUGUGACUACACAGGAGCCUGAUGACAGGCCACUAAGGUUUCAGAGAGGGAAGACGUCUGUAGUCCUGUGAGUAGGUCCCAGUCCUAGUGGGCUUGUGACCCUGGGCUGUGGCCUUCACAGGAGCCUCUCACCCUCCUCCUGUUCCCCGUAAGUGGGCCAGGAUGAGGGCUGGAGUGGCUUUUUUCCCUUCCCCACUGAAAGGCUGUGGAAGGCCCAGGCUGGGACUCCCCUUGAGGGUGGCCUUUACUGAAGAUUGCUCUGGGCAUCUUUCUGACCGACCCUGUCUCUUUCCUGUUGGGAGAGGCCUGAGGGGAUUUUUUUCUGAUCUUUACCCUGAGAACCUGGAGGGGUUCCUGGAGGAAGAACUCAGGACAGUUGGGGUGCUCUUCCCAGUGUUCCCUGGACUGCUCCCCCCUCUGGUGUCAGCUGAGGUACUACUGGGAGGUGACUGGACUUUGGGGGCAGGGUCGGGUUGGAGAGGGUGGGUCCCUGGGGAUGUGGCCUGGAAGGUACUCCUUGUCCUGACCCUGGCUCUCCUGCUUUCCUUUCUGCUUCCUGGUCACCAGGAGCCAGCCUUGCUCUGCCACGCACCCCUCCACAGGCUCUGGCUCACCACAGGCCCAGACACAAGAGUCGAGUGACGGGGAUGGAACUCAGGGACCAUGGGCCAAGCCAGCAUUUCCUCCUUGAGCUUGACCUCUCUCCGGUAGCUUGCCACAGAGAUGGAGAGCCCACCAGCGCAGGCCCCUGGAGUUCUGGUGUCCAGCCGGUCCACGCUCAGGCCUCAGAGCUUCGCCCUGUAGGGUCCCGCGUGGCUGGGCUCCCAGUGGGCUGCAGUUGUGACCCGUGCAGCUCCUCUCGGGGCGGGGGGAGUCCUUUUGUCCUGCAGCCUCCGUUCCUGGUGGGCCUGAGGCCUGCCCGUUCUCAGAGUCUGGCCUUUGGAGGAUGGGGGCAGUGAUUUUCCCGGCCCUCCCCAUCAGAGCAUGGGGCGCUUCACAGCGAAGUUGUCAGAAGAGCAGAGGUGACCUCUGGCUUCCCGGCCUCCUGCUGGCUGGCUGCCUGCAGAACACCCUGGGGUUGAGCUGUCCACGGAGGCUCCUCCCUCCACGCAGUUCACGCCGUGCAGAGGAAAGGGCAGUGGGUUCUUGAGCAGAGAUGUCUUUCCAGCAGCAGGAUCUGCUUUGAGACUCAAAAUAAGUCCUCUGCUUCGCUUUGGGUCACAUUUGUGUAGAGUGUCAUUUUCUGUCCUUUGCUUUCAGUCAAGAUGAAGUGAGUUUCUCAUAAGCAACAUAUAGUUGAGUCUUUUUUAAAAAUAUUUUAUUUACAUUUUAGUUAUCGGCAGACACAGUAUCUUUGUUUGUAUGUGGUGCUGAGGAUCGAACCCGGGCCGCACCCAUGCCAGGGGAGCGCGCUACUGCUUGAGCCACAUCCCCAGCCCCUAUAGUUGAGUCUUAUGUUUAAAAAAUCUAUUCAUCACUGUGUCUUUUAAUUUGGAGAAUUAAUACAUUUAUAUUUAAGGUAAUUAUUGAUAGGUAAUGUAUCAUUACUGCCAUUUUAUUACUGUUUUCUAGUGUUUUUAUAGUUCCUUCCUUUCUUUAUCCAUCUCAUAUAGUGUUAUUUUGUGGCUGAAUGAUUUCUAUAGUAGUGUAUUUUGGUUCUUUGCUUAUUGUUUUUGGUGUAUUAUUUGGUUUUUAAAUUGUGGUUACUAUGAGGCUUACAAGGAACAUCUUUGAUCCUAGCAAUCAAUUUUAAAAUAGUAGCAACAUUGAUCGUAAGGAUAGAAAAAGAAAGAAAUCUUUGCAUUUGCACUCCAUUCCUCCUGACAUUUUAGACUGUUUUGUUUGCCUUUUGCAAGGCUGGGGAUCGAACCCAGGGCUUCAUGCAUGCUAAGCAAAAGCUCCACCAAUGAGCCACAUCCCCAGGUCCCUGUGUGUUAUUUAUUUAUUUGUAUUAGGGAUUGAACCCAGGGAUGCUCCACCACUGAGCUGCAUCCCCAAGACAGGCUCUCACUUAGUUGCUUAAGGUCUUAUUAAUUUUCUGAGACUGGUCUUGAACUUGCCAUCCUCCUGCCUCAGCCUCUUGAGUCACUGGGAUUACAGGCAUGUGCCACCGCGCCUGGCCAUGUCUUCUAAACAGCACAAAGUCCUUCUCCUUGAAGAGCUUUAUCAAUGUAACCAGAGACAGCUCAGAAUGGAGGUUUUCUGCUGAAAUCUCAUUUGAAGGUGCCAGACAGGUCUGGACCUUCUUCAGCCUGUGGGUGGACUGCAUUCGCUCACAACUUGGUUCUUGAUAAACACAGUAACGUGCAGAUCUCCUGCAAACACCUGGCAAGACGGCUUUGCUUUCGGAAAGCCCACCUGAUCAUGGAAUCUUCCUAGUGCUAUGAUUUGUUCCAGGUUACGUUGACACUUGAGAAGGGAAACGUGAACCCUUGUUCGCAGUCUUUCAUCACGAGUCCUCUUAUUGACAGCAUUAGCUCUCCAGCUGUCCUUCCUAGUGAGGAGGCUCACUGUACUCCACGUGGAGCUGAAAGCUUGAAGAUGUCCACUUUCAUCUUGGAGUUGGUGUCAACCUUCUUAUUUUCUGCCAAAUGGUGAGGCCCCACGUUUAACCCUGUGGCACAAGUCUUCUUGAACAAUACCUGACUGAUUUGUGGCUUGUUCUUUAUGGACUCCUUCAGCCUCGUCGGGGGCAGGAAGUAGCUGGGGUAUAAGGCAGCGCUGAUCAGGGAGAUAAAGCCCCAGAAAACGAGCCCAGCAGGCAGCUGCCAGGAAGUGGCAACAGGUGGGCAGCUUCCCUGACCCCGGAGGGCUCCGCUUUCUGGCUGGCCCGAGAGUGACGUCCCACUGCCCAUAAGGCUCUCGAAGCUUGUUGGUAUACAGUGAUGUAUGUGUGUUGUAGGAUUAGGUGUUGAUUCCAGUCUUUGCAAUCAGGCUUUGCACCUGUCCUGGAAAUGUGGCUCAGGCUGUUUCUUAUUUUCUCUGAGCCUGUGGCUACUGCUGCUAUUUCAGCACUAGAUGGCACCUUAAGACCAGGUUUCCUUGAUUCUGCAGCCUGUGUGUUAACACAAGUUCAGCACUAGAUGGCACCCAAGCCCAUGUUUGUUGAAAACCUACAUGUAACCUGCAAAAAGUUAAAGUGAUUCCCUAUAUUCAAUUAGAGUUUUUUUUUAAAGAAAUGAUGUCCAAUUAUAAAAAAAUUGUGACUUUAUUUUCAAUCCAAAAAUCAGAAGAAUGCCUAAUAUUAAGUUACAAGAGGAGCAUAGCUAAACAAUUAGACAGCUUAUUUGAAACCAAGAUUUCCAAUUGUGAAUGAUGCUCAGCCUAAGACUACAGACUCUUCUAAUUUAAUUACUAAUAUUUUGUUUAAGGCAAUUUUUGCAUUAAGGCAUGUGUAAUUUGCUCUCAUGCUCAGAAAUUCAUGUAAGUGGGGAAAUGGGUGUGCUGCUAACUAAUUCUGUUAGACCCCAGAGGUUUGUGGCUCUUGUAGGAGCCUGAGGCUCCACCCAUGAUGGUUUGGAUCUGUGUUCUCCUCACUGUCAAUGAGUGCAAACUACCAAAGCCAAAGGAAGGAACUAUAUCUCAUAUAACCUAUGCUUCAAAGUGGAUGUGAUUAUUUCCAUUUUACUGAAAGGAAAAUGAGACUUAAAAAGAUGAAAGAGCAUUUCCAUGCAUUCCAUGUCAGGACUGAGUUUAUUCAUUUCCAAAGACAGUUUUUUUUUCUUUAUUGAAAAUGGCACCCCAUUGCUUCCACCUGGGGUGGAAGAUGAUCAGAUCAGAUCAGAUGGUCAGUAAAUCCUCCUGGCUUCCUUAACACACACAGGCUGUUGAACCUUGCCUGGCGGGGGGAGCACAGUGCACCUGGGUGUUGCCCUCCUCAGUCCCUGGCGCUUUCCUGUCCCCUCGAUGGUGACCCUGGCAAGAUUCAGAGAGUCUUGACUAUUAAGAGCAUGGUCACUUGUCACCUUAUUUGAUCCUUGCAAUAAUCCUAAGACGUUGGCAGGACUGCUACUAUUUUUGCUAUUUGUUAUAGACGAGAAAACUGAGGUCAGGUGGACUGAGUGUCUUUCUUAUGAUAACACCAAAUAGAAAGCAGAGGAGGAACUAAAUCCAGGCGCCCAGCCCCACCAAGGCACCCCUUCUAUUGUUGGUGUUUAUUCUUGAUUUUCAGUGAAUUUUCUUACCUUUUCCAGGUCUUGUCAAUCUGUGUAGGUGCUGGGCAUUGCAUGUAAAGGAUGGAAGAGACUGAGCAGGUGCUGUCCUUCCCCAGGAGGGUCUCGCUUUCGCCAGGCACAGGCAUGGGGAGGGGCUGAUUUCUGUUCCAACGGGAAGGAACCAAGUCAGAGCUGGGCUGUAGAAUCUGCUAGACCAGCCAACUCUGGUUUCAGUUGCCCUGAGGAUGACACUCCUUGCCGUCCUCUCCCUCUGGCAGGGCGCUGUCUCUCAAGCCACAGGAGGCCAUGAGGUCUCACCUCCCACCUAGGGUCCCAUGCGACUGCAGAACUGGGCAUGUGACAUGGGCUUCCUCACUGAGACUCCUCUGGACUCUCGUGCCAUGCUAGCAGGUGUCUCCAGGGAAGAAAAAGCCUGAUGAUUUCUGUUCAGCUAAAGAACCCUCCAACUCUGAAGUUUUAGUUCUUGGUCCUGUUUCUGAGCUCUUCAGUGUCUUUAACACCAAUACUUCAGCGAGGUGCCUGUGCUUCCCAGCUGCUGAGGUGGAGCUGGAGAGCUGCUGCUGCCUGGACGUCCCACCUGGAGGCAGUUCUCGCACUGACUUUGAAAAGAGCCACUAAGCACUAACCGAGAGUGGCUGACUCUGUACGGCCCCUGCACACAACAGAAUAUGUUAGAAUAUGUUUGUGGGCUUGGGGGGCUGAGGCAGGAGGACCAUGAGUUCAAAGCUAGCCUCAGCAACUUAGUGAGACCCUAAAUAACUUAUCAAGACCUUGUCUCAAAAUAAAAUAUAAAAAAAGGUCUGAGGAUGUGGCUCAGUGGUUAAGUGCCCCUGGUUUCAAUCCUUGGUACAAAAAAAAAAAAAAAAAAGAAUAUGUUUGUGCAUGUUCAGGAAUAAGCAAUCCUUAGUUUGAUGCUGUAGAUCUUUAAAAACCAUAAUACUUUAUGUAUAUAACAUCAUUCACUAUUUGCAACAUAUUAUAUGAUAAAUAAUGUAUUUAUGUAUUCAUAAUUAUGUAUCAUUAAAUAUGUAAUUUCAGUACUGUGUGUGAUGUUUCACAUAUAUCAGUACAUAUAUGAGCAUGAUGUGUAAAUGGUCACGUGUCGUGAUGAACGUGGUCAUGUAUGCACUGGUCAUCUGUGUGGACCUGGAGACCAUGCCUUGGAAGCCCCUGCAUAUGUAUCUUCAUUCUAAUAAUGAGAAUUAUCUGUCAGAUUGUUAAAAUCCCCCAAAUAGAAUGUGGAUUUGUUAGAGUCUGUAAACAAGUCAAAAUAACACCUGGCAUUUUGCCAGGGGAAUGUUAGAGUUCGUAAACAAGUCUGGAUGGUGCCUGGCAAAAUGCCAGAGGGAGUGGUUUGAGAAGUAACAAAAGCAAGCCAUUAAGUGUGGAGAUUCCUGAUUG
rnacentral:lncRNA from 1 species